UAGGAAAUACGCCUGUAAUGUUUUUAGAGUUUGGGAAAUAAUAAUUGCAUCUCAAAAUAAAGUUUCAUGUCAUCAACCAGACGUAAAGCCACAAAUCUAGGGAUUUUUUGACCAUAGCCUAUAUAAUGGAAAAUGUUUAUAAUCUUCGAUAUAUCUCAUUGUUUUCUAAUGUUUUCUAUUGCAAUCAUUUGGGAAUCAUUUAGGCAAGUUUAGGAAGGCACUUUCACAGUUUGGGAAGCAAUAAUUUUUAUAAUUAAGGGGAUGCUGGAGCUGCUAGUGAACUUUUUCGUGAAAGUGCUGUCACUUCGAUGGAACUAAAAUAUCAGUGUCUGACAGAAUUGACAUUACCGACAUGUCGGGAAGACGUGAUUUCGUGAAUGCUUCAAAACUCUGAAGCAUUUGGAAUGUCAACUGGACUGUAAGAAGUCUUUCAACAUUUAGGCAAGUGAAAAAUAUCAUUCGUCGGGCGCUGCAAGUGGAGAGGAGGAGAAUGGGGUAUGCACUACCCCCACCACCGCCGCCUCCCACACCGUAUGUACCGUACCCAUAUCCAUACAGAUAUUAAAAAUUGUCUUUAAAAAUAUGCCUUCUCCAUUCCAUUCUAUAUAAUAAAUAUAUAAAAAA